CACCUGUUUAACAAAAACAUGGCUUAUAGAAAAUAAUUUUAAGUCUAAUCUGCUCAAUGAAUAUUUAAAUAGCUGCAGUAUCAAUAACUGUACAAAGGUAGCAUAAUAAUUAGUUUUUUAAUUAAAAACUCGUAUGAAAGAUUAAAUGAAAUAUAAACUUUAUCAAUAAAAUUAAUUAUUAAAAUUAAAUUUUAAGUUAAAAUUCUUAAAUUAAAUUAAAAGACGAGAAGACCCUAUAGAAUUUUAUUAAUAAGAAUUCAUUUAAUUUAAAUUUUUAAUUUAAUUUUUUUUAUUAAUUUAAUUGGGGUAAUUAAAAAAUUUAAUAAACUUUUUAUUAAUUUUACAUUAAUGUAUGGAUAAAUAAACCUAAAUUUUAGGAUAAAAAAACAAAUUACCUUAGGGAUAACAGCGUAA
rnacentral:rRNA from 1 species